UGAGCCCAGUAGCAGUUCCAUUAAAAUACUCAUAUUAGUUAGAGGAAGGUUGGCACUUGGGAAGAAUUGCAGCUUGCACGAUUGUUUGCAUUAUUCCUCUGACCUGAGGAAAGUUUGGAUCCUCAAGGCUUGCUGAUGUGUAGUGGGUGAAAUCUCUUGUGCUUCUGCUGGGUUAAUACGAAGCUGAAAGUUACUAGGAGGAAAUAUAUGCAUAAGGAAAUAUCAAUUUCUGCCUCAGGUCAUGGCAGUCAGGAGAGGUACCUGAGGGCUGAAAGCAAGCAAAUGUCACUCCAGUCUUCAGAAAAGGGGAACUAAAGGCCCAGCCUGUAAAUGUGAUGGAACAGCUCUCCUGGAGACUAUCUCUACGCAUGUGGAAGACAAGAUGACCAAGAGGAGUCAACACGGAUUCACCAAAGGAAAUUCAGGCUCAACCAACCUGAUUGCCUUUUACAAUGGGAUAAUCGGCUGAAUAGAUGAGGGGAGAGCAGUGGAUGCUGUUUACCUGGACUGCAGCAAGGCUUUUGACAUUAUCUCCCCUCAGUACACAAGUGCAAUUCCCAGUUUAGGGUAGCUGGCAACUAUAUAUACUCACACACAGUGGAACUUAAACCAUAAGAAAGUAAUCUAUGACAGCAGCAAAAGCAGUAUUAAUAACCUAUUUCUGCAAAAGUCACUCAGGCAGAGUCUGGUAAAAUUCAACUAAUAUGUUUCAUAAGUAUAGAAUCAUAGGAUGAUUUGUGUUGAAAGGAAACUUAAAGAUCAUCUAGUUCCAAACCCUCUGCCCUGGACAGGGACACCUUCCAGUAGACCUGGUUGCUCAAACAAAACCCCAUCCAAUGUAGCACAUCGAGAUUUUAGGUAUUAGUGACAAGUGAGCAAGUAUUGUAUGUGAUACUCUAAAUAAAUUAGUAUGUCAGCUCUAUUCACUGGUACACAAGUAGUUUGACCAUAU